rnacentral:rRNA from 1 species
GACGAACGCUGGCGGCGUGCUUAACACAUGCAAGUCGAACGGAAAGGCCCUGCUUUUGUGGGGUGCUCGAGUGGCGAACGGGUGAGUAACACGUGAGUAACCUGCCCUUGACUUUGGGAUAACUUCAGGAAACUGGGGCUAAUACCGGAUAGGAGCUCCUGCUGCAUGGUGGGGGUUGGAAAGUUUCGGCGGUUGGGGUUGGACUCGCGGCUUAUCAGCUCGUUGGGGGGGUAGUGGGUUAGCAAGGCUUUGACGGGUAGCCGGCCUGGUGGGGUGACCGGCCCCGUUAGGCUUGGGAUACGGCCCAGACUCCUCUGGGAGGCAGCGGUGGGGAAUAUUGCACAAUGGGCGGAAGCCUGAUGCAGCAACGCCGCGUGCGGGAUGACGGCCUUCGGGUUGUAAACCGCUUUCGCCUGUGCCGAAGCGUGAGUGACGGUAAUGGGUAAAGAAGCACCGGCUAACUCCGUG